AUGGCGACCGCGGUCUCCAAAUCAGCCACCAAAUCGCAUCCCAGGUCGCCCACCACCGCGCAGCCGCCGAACCCUGCCUCCGCCGCCGCGGCCGCUGGCGCGGCGCCGUCCAAAAGCGCUGCCAUGGCGGAGCUCAAGUCGCGCGUGCUCUCCGCGCUCGCCAAGCUCUCUGACCGCGACACGCACCACAUCGCCGUCGAGGAACUCGACCGCUUCAUCCGGUCGCCGCCGUCCCCGGACGCCGUGCCCAUGCUCCUCCACGCGCUGGCGUCCGACACCCAGGGGCUCGCCUCGCCAGCGCGGCGCGAGUCGAUACGUCUUCUUGCCACGCUCUGCGCGGCUCACCCCGACGCCGCGGCGCCGCACCUGCUGAAGGUGAUGGCGCAUCUCUCGCGACGGCUCAAGGACACGGCCUCCGACUCGUCCGUGCGGGACGCGUGCCGCGACGCCGCGGGGCAGCUAGCGGCGGUGUACCUCCGGCCGCUUGCUGCUUCAGCAGCUGGUGAGGCGGGAAAUGGGACCGUCGCACUGUUCGUGAAGCCGCUCUUCGAAGUCAUGGGAGAGCAGAGCAAGACUGUGCAGAGCGGGGCCGCGGCCUGCUUGGCAAAAACAGUGGAGGGGGCAGGCCCUGGACCUGGUGUCUUGGGUAUGUUUGGCAAGCUUGGUUCCAGGGUUUUCAAGUUGGUCGGCGGACAGGGUGUGCAGGCCAAGGGGUCACUGCUCAAUGUCAUCGGAAGCUUGGCUCAGGUUGGAGCGAUCAGUCCCCAGAAUAUGCAACAGACACUGCAAAGUAUCCGUGACUGUCUUGAGAACAGUGAUUGGGCUACCAGGAAAGCAGCUGCUGACACAUUGUGUGUCCUGGCUACCUAUUCAGGUCACUUGAUAGGUGAUGGGGCCGCUCCAACCAUAGCUGCUCUCGAGGCUUGCCGUUUUGAUAAGGUAAGGCCUGUCAGAGAUAGCGUGAUUGAUGCUGUGCAGUUGUGGAAGCAAUUAACAGGUGAAGAUACAAAUGAAGACGGUAAAACUAAGGAACCAACUGGCAGUGAAACGAAGCUGGAUUCACCUAGCAAUAAUGAGAAAGCAAAGGGCAGUAGCAUAGCUGAAAAAGCAGCAGUUCUCUUGAAGAAAAGACCUACACUAACUGACAGGGAACUGAACCCUGAAUUUUUUCAAAAGCUUGAGACGAGAACCACAGAUGACUUGGCUGUUGAGGUGGUAGUUCCCCGCAAGACUCUCCAAUCUCAUCUACAAAGUGAAGAUGAUCCAGAGGAAGUAGAUGGUGAUCCUGUUGGUGCAGCUAAUAGCAAUGGAUCUGCAGAUGAUGAAGGGAGUCUGACCCAAGUGCGGGCUAGCUCUAGUUUUCAAAGUGUUCGAAAUAAAUGGGCUGGCCAAAGAGGAAAUAGAAACAAAGAUACAAAGGCUAGACCAUCUGAUGUUGAAGAUAGGUGUGAAACCAGUGCAAAAGAAUCUGCACCAAUGACUAUACCAGGAGAUGGUCCCUUCAUAAAUAAUAAAACAAACUGGUUAGUUAUACAGAAGCAGUUAUCACAAUUGGAGAGACAGCAAACAAGUCUCAUGAACAUGUUGCAGGAUUUCAUGGGAGGAUCUCAUGACAGCAUGGUUACUCUGGAAAACAGAGUACGUGGUCUUGAGAGGGUUGUUGAGGAAAUGGCUAGGGAUAUAUCAUUGUCAUCAGGCAGGAGAGGUGGCGGUUCAACCCUGGGCUUCGAUUCAUCUCCUGGCAGAUCAUCUGCGAAAUACAAUGGGUUUCAUGAGUAUUCUAAUUCGAAAUUUGGUAGGGGUGGUGAUGGAAGGAUAGGAUUCGCAGAUAGGUAUUUUUCUGCAGAUGGUAUGGCUUCUGGUGUAAGAAGCCCAUCCUGGAGACCAGAUUCUGAGCAAUGGGAUUCAUACGCUUAUUCUGGAUCACGAAGCGGAAUGAAUUCCAGGAGAGGAUUAGAUUCUUUUUCAUCUGACACUCGGGUGCCUAGAAAUGGUAAUGAUCAAGCAGGUCCGAGGCGAGGAUGGGACAAAGGACAGGGUCCAUUUAGGUUUGGGGAGGGUCCUUCUGCUCGAAGUGCAUGGAGGGCGUCGAAAGAUGAGGCGACACUGGAAGCUAUCAGAGUGGCCGGUGAAGAUAAUGGAAGUUCAAGGGCUGCUGCAAGAGUUGCUAUUCCUGAGCUGGAUGGAGAGACUUUGAAUGAUGACAAUCAAGGGGAUGGAAGAGGUCCACUUUGGGAAUCCUGGACUCGCGCGAUGGAUGCUAUUCAUGUUGGUGACAUGGAUUCGGCUUAUGCUGAGGUUCUUUCCACUGGAGAUGCUGAGCUACUUGUAAAGUUAAUGGAGCAAACUGGACCAGUUGUCGAUCAACUGUCAAACGAGGUUUCAAAUGAGGUUCUACAUGCUGUUGGACAAUUCCUCGUAGAGGAAAGCUUCUAUGAUAUAGCUUUGAGUUGGCUUCAGCAGUUGACUGAUCUGGUGAUGGAAAAUGGAUCCGACUAUCUUGGAAUCCCUCGAGAUGCAAAGAAUGACCUCUUAUUCGGACUUCAUGAAGCUACUGCCAUCGAGCUGCCUGAUGAUUGGGAGGGGGCGACACCAGUUCAGAUAAUGAAGCAGCUGGCCUCAUCGUGGCACAUCGAUCUGCAGCAGCUUAUCAAUUAG
rnacentral:rRNA from 1 species